UCCCUAAAAGCUCAACAACCACUGCGAGCCGUGCAGCUGACGCACAUUCAAUUGUCCCAGGAGCUCGCCAGCACCUCCGAGCUCAGACAAGGCCGAACACCUUCCAAAGGGGAGGGGGGGUAACUGCGCAAACAAAGUUGCACACCACACCGCAACCCGCCCCUCCCUUCCACUGACCCCCUCCUCCCCCCCCGGAUCCCCGGCAAAGCUCACUUGCUCUGCCGGACUCACGACCUCACCCUACUGUCGCGCAACACACCCCCUUCCACACGCGAGCCCACCCUUCUAUUGUGCCCCGCGCUUCGGGCGGUCCAGCCUCCUGGCAAAGCACAGAGCCAGCCGCUGCGCUCACCUUGCUUGACACACUUGAGCCGGAGGGGGUCCUUGCAGUGUUUGAUCACGGCCAGCACAUCCCUGAUGGUGAGCCCCGCCACGGGGGUCUCGUUCACUUCCAGAAGCAGUUCCUCCGACACCAACUUGCUGCCGCUCUCAUAGGCCACCUUGCCGGGCUUCACCUCUCCCAGCCUACAGCCUAAGUGAAGAGAGAGAAGCCAUAUUGCUUUCAUGACUGGACAAGCAUGAAAAUAAAAGCUUCCCUGUGACAAUGAUGGAGCAAAAUGAUAGAAGGGCCCCAGACUCCCUUCAGACUUCUUUUUAUAACUAGAACAACAACGACAAAAUAAUUUAAUUUGUAUGGAAACUCCAAAGCCUUGAAGAGCCAAAGCAGUUUUGAGAAAGAAAAGCAGAGCCAGAGGAAUGAGGCUCCCCGACUUCAGACUUUACUACAAAGCUACAGUGCUCCAAACAGUAUGAUAAUGGCACAAAAACAGAAAUAUAGAUCAGUGGAACAGCAUAGAAAGCCUAGAAAUAAACCCAUGGGUCUACGGCCAAUCAAUCUACAAAAAAGGAGGCAAGAAUAUACAAUGGAAAUAAAGGCAAACUCUUCCUUCAGUAAGUAGUGCUGUGGAAACUGGACAGCUCCAUGUACAAAAAUGAAAUUAGGACUCUCUAAUGCCAUACACAGAAAUUAACUCAAAAUGGAUUAAAGACCUGAAUUUCAAAUCAGAUGCUAUAAAACUCUUAGAGGAAAAACAUAGGCAGAAACAGUCUUUGACACAGAUUGCAGCAAUUAUCUUGUUUGAUCUACCUCCUAGAGUAAUGAAAAUAAAAAUAAAAAUAAAUAGACCUAAUUAAGCUUAAAAGCUUUUGCACAGCAAAGGAAACCAUAAACAAAAUGAAAAGACAACCUAUAGAAUGGGAGAGAAUCUUUGCAAAUGAAGCAACUGACAUGGGAUUAAUCUCCAAAAAUGAACACCUCAUGUAGCUCAAUAUAAAAAAAAAAAUCAAAAGAUGGGUAGAAUAUCUAAGUAGAUGAUUCUCCAAAGAAGACAUAGAGAAGACAUGAAGACAAGAAGAAAUGGAAAGAUGCUCAACAUCACUAAUCAUUAGAGAAAUGCAAAUCAAAACUAUGCGGUACCACCUUACACCAGUCAGAAUGGCCUUCAUCAAAAAAAUCUAUAAAGGGAUGAGAAUGUAAGCUUGCAAAACCACCAUGGAGAACAGUAUGGAAGUUCCUCAAAAAACUAAAUAUAGAGCUACCAUAUGACUCAGCAAUCCCACUCCUGGGCAUAUAUCCAGAGAAAAUCAUAAUUCAAAAAGAUACAUGCAGCCCAGUGUUCACUGCAGCAGUCUUUACAAGAGCCAAGACCUGGAAGCAACCUAAAUUCCAUAGACAGAGGACUGGAUAAAGAAGAUGUGGUACACAGUACAACGGAAUAUUUUUCAGCCGUAAAAAAAGGAGACAUGCCAUUUGCAACAACAUGGAUGGACAUAGAGAUUAUCAUACUUAAGUAAGUCAGACAAAGACAAAUAUGCUAUCACUUAUAUGUGAAAUUAAUGAAAAUGAUACAGAGCUUAUAAAACAGAAACUCAUAGAUUUCAAAUCAAACUUAACGGUUACCAAAGGGGAAUAAUGGUGCAUGCAUAAAAUAGACAGGUAAUAAGGACCUACUGUAUAGUACAGGAUAACUCAGUACUGUGUGAUAACCUAUAUGGGAAAAGAAUCUGAAAAGGAAUGGAUAUAUGUAUAUAUGCUUUACUUUGCUGUACACCUGAAACUAACACAACUUUGUAAGUCAACUAUACUCCAAUAAAUAUGUAUAUAUAUUUUAAAAAAUGGUCACUUUUAAAUAUCACAUAAACAAUCCCUGAAAUAAUCUCUCUCCACCUCCCAUUGACAGAAGAUAAGAAGUUUCUGAGUCAAAACUAUGAAAGAAAAGUUUGCUGUGCAAAAUCUCUGAUAAGUUUCCAGGAUUUGGAGAAAGAGUAUGCCUUCUUUGAAAACUAGUCUCAAUUUUAAUAAAUAUUUCUGCCACGAUAAUGAAUCCUACUGGAAACUGAUAUCCUGACCAUGGGUUUCUCGGUGAUUAUGUCACUGAGAUUUCGUUUCCUGAUCUGGAUAUUAUCAGAGCUAUCCUAUAAGGCUGGGCAAGUGCAAAAACAGCAAAUGGCUUUCAGCCUGAGCACAUCUAGAUCAUACUAGAAAAUUACACAGAAGGUUCAGACUUCCAUGUCACUUACCUCUGCUAUCCUCAAAAACAAGUACUAAUAGUUGUUUUAUAUGUUUUGUUAAAUUUAUAAGAUAUCAGCAUUAUAACCUUAUUUCUUUUUGUAGUCAACAUUGUAUAUUUUAAACAAUAGAACUGAUUGGUUUGUUUAAUUGUACUGCUAUACAUUGUUCUAUUACAACACAUUGUGAUUUAUUCUCUAUUUCAUUAGCAUCCAAGAGCUCAGUUACUAUAGUCAACAUCCUUAAUAAAUACCUCUUUAUCUUUCUCAUUAAUGAGAUUAGGAUAACUCUAUAUUGAAUCAUUUAAGUUUUUACUUCUGUUAUUUUUUUUCUCCCUUGGUUAUUUUUUACUGGGUUCAGUGGAAGUCAUUGGGUAUUUUAUGUAUUCUUAUUAUUCAAAGUAUUGAAUCCCAGGUUGUCACUUUAAUCUUAGUCUUGUGACUGAAAUGGAAUCUGUGAUGGACCACUCAGAUCCUUGUUCAGAGCCAGAGGGCUUAUUGCCUAAUUCAUGGAAAGUGAUACUUGCAGGCAGCCCAAUAAUCAUCCCUCAUUAGAAACUUCCUUGAGUGGAGUCAUUUGUAUCUCACCCAAAUUCGUACACCCUUCCCAGGGCAGCUUGCUUCCAGUCACUGGUCAAUGCAGGAGUCUCAGCCUCUCUCCUGCUUCAGAGAAGCCUUCACUGAUAAUGCAUCACUGCACUACUUGUCUCUCUAACCCAGUUCUGUUUUCUUCCCUUCCCUUCCUAUCACAGAUAUUGGCCUCAAGAACACUUUGUAAUAAACCUGCUCACUAAUCUCUUUUGUGGUCUGGUUCCUAGGGACACAACCUGUGUGAGUGACAAUCACUAAUAGAUAUUCUUACUUAUGUUGCCCAAUUUUCAUAUUAGUCAAAAAUCAAAUUGUAUGCUUUUCUCUUGUGAUUUGAGCUUUUACAUCUUGUUUUAGUAAACAUAAUUUAUGGUUAGUUUAGUUGUUUUAUUUUCAUACUCAGACCUUAUAUCCAUUUGGGAUUUUUUUGUUUUUGUUUAAUAAUUGUAUGUACUAGAGAUCCAAUUUUAUUUUUAAGUAGUAAAUCAAGUUUCUGGUUGCUUUCAAAAGUGUCUAUCAUUUCUCCAAAGUUAUGUACCAUGUCCUCUAUCAUAUACAAGUAAUCUGUUUAAAUCCUUAUUUUUCUAUUCCUUCAGUCAAUUAGUCUGUCCUGCACCUGUACCACACAGAUGGUUUUCAUCUGAUGUUGCAUUCUGUCUUAAUACCUAGUAGUAGGAGUUUCCCUUCUUUAUACUUUUUUGAAAAUUGCUUUAGAAAGUCAUGGAAAUUUAUCUUCCUUUAUAAAUUUUGAAGCUGUGGUGCAGUGGGUUAAUGAUCUGGCUUGUCUCUGUGGCAUUGCCGGUUUGAUUCCCCAGCCUGGCACAGUGGGUUAAGUAAAGAUUUGGCAUUGCCACAGCUGUGGCAGAUGUGACUCGGAUUCAGUCCCAGUCCUGGGAACUUCUAUAUGCUACGUAUGUGACUGAAAAAGGAAAUGAAAAGAAAAAGAAUAUUUGGAGAAAAAAAAGGUGAUCAUUUGUAGUUCAUGAAAGAUAUAAGACUUCAGUUUAAAAGGGCAUAUAAUGAACACAGUAGGAAAGAUAAGUGGGAAGAAACUUCCUCUUUUAGAUAAAGUUGUUUUUAAGGUUACUAAAAACAAAGGAAAAUUUAUGAUUUUCAGAAAGAAAGUAAAACUUGAAUAAAAUCAGAACUAAAAUCAAUACUUUUUAGCCCUUAUAAUAGCAACACUAAAUGUAAAAGAGUUUUCAAGGAAAAGGAUUUGAAUCUGACUCAGCUAAGUAUUCAGCUAAGCUAUUAUUUCCAUGUUAGAGCAAAGAUAAUAAGAUAUUAGUUAUCAGAGAGCCUAGCAACAUGAAGAAUCUCUUUAAAAGUUCUUAAGAGAUUUAACUUUUGAAAAGAAGGAAUUUUUUAAAAUUAUUUAUAUAUAUUACUACUGUACAGCAUGGUGACCCACUUACAUAUAAAUGUAUACAUUCUUUUUUCUCACAUUAAGUGUUCCAUCAUAAGUGACUAGACAGAGUUCCCAGGGCUAUACAGCAAGAUCCCAUUGCUCAUCCAUCCUGAAGGCUACAUUCUGCGUCUAUUUACCCCAAAAUCCCAGUCCUUCCCACUCCCUCCCCUUCCCCCUUGGCAACCACAAGUCUAUUCUCCAAGUCCAUUAUUUUCUUUGCUGUGGAAAGGUUCAUUUGUGCCCUAUAUUAGAUUCCAGAUAUAAGUGAUAUCAUAUGGUAUUUGUCUCUUUCUGACUUACUUCACUCAGGAUGGAAUUGAUUCUGAAAGCAAUAAAUUGUUAUGGGAGGGAAAAUACGCAAGUAUGUAAGAAUUUAAUCAUUUGUAUAAUCACAAAAUCAGAAACUAAAAUGUCAUAGAAUACUAAUGUAAGUUAUUUCAGGAAGAGAGGAAGGUGGGAGAGAGAGAGAGUAGUGUGCAUAAUAAUAAAAACAAAGCAAUAAAGAAAAAUAAUGGGAUAAAGAGAAUAGGAAGAAGAAAUUAAAAUGUCAUAAUAUAAGUAUCUUUAUAGACUGCCCAAGAUAAUUCCUAAAUAAAUUUUAAGGUUAAUGUGAAAACUCAGUCAAUUUAAAAGCUAAAUGAAUAACGUAAUGAAGACCCAUAUGACCACCGUCCCAGAAAUAAAGUGUUAUCAUUUUAUCAAGUUUGUUCCAUGUUGCUUUUUUAAACAAAAAAGAUACAUUUACAAGAAAUUUCAUUAUAGCCUUGUAUGUUAGCACAAACAACUGGAAACAAUCUCUUUUUUCAUUAAAAUUUUAAAGUUGAAAAAAAAAAUCUCACUUAAUCUAUAUGCUCCGCAAAAACUUUCUAUUAACUCAAUCCAGAUUUAUUUCCCCCAAACUCUUCUAGAGUAAAACAUGCUAAUUCUUUCUCACAAUCACCAUGUAUUCAGGCACACAUAUACAUUUCUAAGAUUCAGAGUUCAUAAGAAUAAUUACCUUGAAUCAGAGGAAAUUGAUUUAUUAAGAAAGACUAGUUGAAGUCUGUCUUGAAUGGAUACUAAUGAAUGUAGGUAUGUCUUACUUGAAAAAAAGUUACUCGAUACUUAUUUAUAAUUUUUAAAUAUCAAAAUUAUGAAAUAUUAAAAGUCCAUGCUCCCAUCCUGGUGAAGACUUUUCAGAUCUUCUCUAAUAAAUUUCAAAUAUAUAAAAUAUAGUUUUAAAAAAUAAUUCAUAUCACUGGAGUCAUUCAAGAAUGUACCUGGCCAUUCAAGAAACCAUAAAUAAGAGAAAAUGGGCAAAAUCUAGAUCAGUGGUAUCUCCUGGAAUAUAAUUCUAAACUUAUAAUUAUUAACCUUAAAUGUGGGCCACACAUGUAAUUUGAAAUUUUCCAGUAGGCAUAUUUAAAAGUAAAAAUAAACAAGACCAUGUCAGUUUGUACUACCUUCAUGUCAAGUGCUCAGUAGCCUCACAGGGCUAGUGGCAACCAUAUUGGAUACCACAAAUCUGUAGAAUGCCUUGAUUAGUAUGAUGCAUUGAUUGACAAAUGGAUAUAGUAGGCUAAUCUGGUGAAGGCAAGUACAAACAUUUAAGAAUUUCUAGUAUGUGCUAAAAACUUCAUGAAGUACAUUAUAUGUAUUCUCUCAUUUAAUGCACAGUAAGCCUAUGGAGUAAAUAAAUGCUAAUAUUACUUUUAUUAUUUCCAUUAUAUGACUGGGAAACUUGAGAUUAAAUACAUAUUCCAACAGACCAUAGCUACAACUCGGCAGAGCAUCAAGCCAGAUUUGACUCUUUCCAAGUCUCUAUUUUGAAUUACUUUAUGCCAUACUAGCUGCAUUUUGGAUGGUGGCUGGAACUAGAGUGAUGGCAAUGGAGGGGGAAAUAAAUGGAGUAGUUUGAGAAAUAUUCAAAUGAUAAAAACAGCAAGUCUUGGUGAUGGGUUAUAUAUGCGGGUUGAGGGACAGGUAAAUAUCAGACAGUGUGCAUUUUGGGAUUGUGCAAAUGGUCCGAUGUGUGACUACUGUUGAGAUAAUAUUAGAGGGGAGUUAGGUUUUGAGACACAAUUCUAAAUACUCAGUACAUCAGAUGCUAAACAUUGCUCCCAUCUUUGUAGUUACAUUAAGCCUCUGCUAGAAAAUGUGAAUUUAAAAUGGCCCUUUAUUUCUCCUGGUUUUUAGACUGAAUAGCAGAUAAAAGGAGAAAAAUCAUGUAUUAGAAUAAAUAAAAGAAAGACUCCAUGAUCCAUCUCUUUUACAAAUAGGAAGGAAAAUGAUAUAACUGAGAAAAUUAUGUUUGGAUUCAAUAAACUUUUUCUAAAUAAAUAACAUGAAAUUUAUAGAAACUGGAAGAAUUUUAGUUGUUACUAUUUUAAAAUUUAGGGGAUAAAAGCAGAUGAAUGCCUCAAUAAAUGGAUUAAAAAUAAAUGGAUUAAAAAUAAUACCACUUAAGUAAUCAUGUACUCUUUUGCAUCAUCACAGCAGAUUUUCAGUGUGAAACUUCCAGAUUUGAAUGAAAUCUAUGUUGCACAUCCUGUAACGUAAGCUCAAUAAGAGCUUUUGUAGUAUUUCUGAUCAAUUUGAGUGACAACUCCUAUAAAGCAUUACAGAUUAGAGGUAGGCACACCAGGUUUUCCCAUUAUUGUCAGAAAUAAUUAUUUAUGCUUCUUCCUAGUUUCUUCAUUCUGCCUACUUCAUCUUAAUUGAUGGUUUUUCUGAUUCUUUGCCCCCAUAAAUUUGAAUUCCUCAAUAAUGAGACUGAAUUAUAAUUUUCAUAUUUGGCUUGUUAGGUAGGGGAAACCAUCUCUGCGUCUGAGAACAGGGAAGGAAGAAAAUUGAGGGAAGAGGGCUGAAGGGAUUUGUGAAGUGUGAACAGUUUUGGAAUACUGCUCUGAGGAACAGCAUUAACAAAAUAUGGUUAAAAUGAUUGUCAAGCUGUGCUCAGGGCUGAAAUGAAUAAUCAGAACCUCGUAGAUACCAAGGGGUGACUGUAUAUGUAUAAGAAGAAAUAGAAAAAAUAAAUCAUCAAAUGAACAUGAGCCUCAAAAUUUAAACAUUAAAAAAGAAGGGUCCCAUAUAGUGAGGGACAGGAGGUGAUAGGGCCUCAGGAUCAUCAUAGGAUGUAGCGAGACCAGUAAAGAGGUACUUUGUAAUAGUCUAAUUAUGAGGUGAAAAUUUCUAAACCCAGGUGGUAGUGGUGACAACAGAAAAGUUAUGCUAACAAAAAAUAGUUUUAUUAGACUAGGAAUCAGAGAAAAAAUCGACUUAUUUAAUGUAGGUGUUAGGGAAUAAGGAAGAAGUCAAAGGUGAUACAGUUAGAACCUAAUAUGUAAUGAUGAUGUUAACAUUUAUAGGAGGAGAACCUGGAAUGGAUGUACAUAAAAAGGUAUUGGAAUAAUGUAAAGGAAUUUAGAUACUUCUUUGUUGACAGGAUAAUGGAUAUAACAUGGAUAUCUUGAGAUUUCUUAUAUUUGCCUCCAUAGUAGUGGGAGAAAUCACAGGCAUUUGUAGUCUCCAGAUCUGCUGAGCUUGCCAGGUUGCAUGUAUUCCUUUUAACUCAUCACCUUAAUUCUUCUUCAUCUCCCUCUCUGACCUUUCAAAUACCAUUGAACUUCUCAAAGAUAACAAAACAAAACUCUUAUUAUCUUUGUAUCUUUUAUCUCAUAAAUAUGUGAAACGUCCUAGUGUCUCACUAAGACACAUUCUUCUAAACUGAGAAGCCAAUUUAUAUGGAUCCAGUACAGUCAUUUUUAUCCAGAACCCAACAACAAAAUAUUCUUGAGUAUACAGAAUGUCUUUCACGGAAUUCAUCGCUUCCUGCCCUGUUUUAUACAUUUUUUCUAAAUUUCCUGUCACUCUCUAUAUAGAAACCAAUCUAUAUCUUUUUACUUCCUACUCUUCCAAUCACUACGUCCUACACCUGUAGUAACAUUUAGCUGGCAUUUGUAAUGCCAGGAUUAAACUAGAUAAGAGAAGUCAGAAUACAUUUUAAGACUCAUUUGCAUAAUUAUCUUAGUCACUUGGGAAGAUAGUGAACAGAAAAGGGAGAAGAUAGGUGCACAGAGCAUAAGAAGAAAGUCAAGGAUGGAACCUUAAAGAACAUUUACAUUCGGUGGUACUGAAGAAGAGGAAGACAACAUGAAGAGAAGAGAAAGGAGAAAUAAUGGGAUGAAAGAAUUACCAGGAUAUUCUAAUGCCAUAGGUAAGAUAGAUGUUUCAAAAUGUGGUGAUGGAAAAUGUGGUGAGAAAGUUUUCUCUUUCUGAGCAUUCAAGAGAGAUAGGCACUAAGAAAAAUCUUUGGCAACUUUGGAUAAAGCGGUUUUAGUGGAGUGUUGUGGGAGAAAACCACACUAGAAGGUGUUAAGGGAUGAGUGGUUGGUAAGCAAUUAGAGGCAUCUGCUUGAUGUUUUGUAAAAACUUGUAGAUCAGCUGUAGAAACCUCACAGACCACAUUAAUAGGAUCUUUUAUCACACAGAAUAAUUUGAAACUCUUCAUACAACAUUAGUCAGGAAACUGAGUUUUGUUUUACUACUAUCAAUCUAUUCACAAGUUAAGGCAAGCUAUUUUAAUGACUUCCACUUUCUUAUCUAAAUUUAUCCUCAAUACCUAAUCAAAGUGAAAUUGCGAUGAUGUUUAUGUACUAGUGAAGAAAAGACAUUCCAUUACUGCUUAAUGGCCAUUUAAAGUGUUUUCAUUAAAUUUAGAAGAAAAUAUAAUUUUUAUAAAUUCCUAAGACUUUUAUGUAAGUAUUAACUAAUCAAAAAAUCCUUAAUCAGAUGGUUAGAAGAGACUUUUUAUUUUAGAAAACGUGCUCAUUUUCAGGUUACUAUGAAAAAUACUUUCAAGAAACUCAGAUAAGACUUAUUCUUUAUUUACAAAGUUCUCAUAAUCACCUAGGAAUAUAAAUUGAACUGUUAAAUAUGUAUUAUAGGAAGAAUGAAUUUCUUUCCAUUCUCCAGUGAUAUUAAUAUCCCCAUAUAGCUUCUAUUCUAUAUCCAGUAGAUGGUGUGGGAAUGUUUUACCUAAGAAUUCUAUCAAUCCUAUAGUAAAUGAUAAAGCAAUUCUUAAGCUUGUGUUAGUACUCAUUAUUGCCCGAAAAUGGCCAUUAAAUGUUGACAGUACUGUUGCUUGAAAGGGUUGUUGUAAUGAGCCCCAUAUUUCCUAUUCACACACACAAAAAAAUCUGGGCAGGGGUUAGAAACAGAGGUAUGUUCUAAUUGAGCACUGACAUCAUUCACAUUAUAAUGCACAGCAGUUUCUUCACUGUGAAAGGAGUAUUAAAAGUAAAUUAUUUUGCAAAA